rnacentral:rRNA from 1 species
UUUCUAUAAAAGUGACAAAUAGCAAUAUUUUCAAGAAACAACUUUUUAAAUUCUAAUUUAAUAGAAGUCAAGUUAUGGUCUGAGAGAUAACUUAAAAAUGGUAAGUUAUUUAGGAACAAGAUAAAAGGCAAAACACCAAACUUCAUACAAACUUAAAUGUUUGACAUUUAAAAAUUAAAGAGAUUUUUUUUUAACGUGUAUUUGAGACAAAUAAGCCAACCUUGGUACAUAACCGCUGAAAACUAAAAAACCGUACCCUAAACCAACACAGGUGGAUAGGUCGAGUAGACUAAGGUGUAUGAGAUAAUUAUGUUGAAGGAACUCGGCAAAAUGACUCUGUAACUUCGGGAGAAAGAGUACCUUUUUAUUUAAGUGUUUAUCGACGAAAUAAUAAGAAG